UCUGAGAAGGGUUCGAGUG
rnacentral:snRNA from 1 species